UCCUUCUUAGCUCAGUUGGUAGAGCGCGUCACUAGUAUUAUGGAGGGACCAAAAUCCUAUGACGAGGUCAGUCGUUCAAGUCGGCUAGAAGGAA